GAUGAACGCUGGCGGCGUGCUUAACACAUGCAAGUCGAACGAGAGAAGAUUGGUGCUUGCACUGAUCCGAUCGAGUGGCGGACGGGUGAGUAACGCGUGGGUAACCUGCCUCAUACAGGGGAAUAACAGUUGGAAACGGCUGCUAAAACCGCAUAAGCGCACAGUAUCGCAUGAUACAGUGUGAAAAACUCCGGUGGUACUGAGAUGGACCCGCGUCUGAUUAGCUAGUUGGUGAGGUAACGGCCCACCAAGGCAACGAUCAGUAGCCGGCCUGAGAGGGUGAACGGCCACAGUGGGACUGAGACACGGCCCAAACUCCUACGGGAGGCAGCAGUGGGGAAUAUUGCACAAUGGGGGAAACCCUGAUGCAGCGACGCCGCGUGAGUGAUGAAGUAUUUCGGUAUGUAAAGCUCUAUCAGCAGGGAAGAUAAUGACGGUACCUGACUAAGAGGCACCGGCUAAAUACGUGCCAGCCGCCGCGGUAA
rnacentral:rRNA from 1 species